CUGCCCCCAAACAAGUACAAUUUGGUUGGUGCAGACCAGAUCCAAAUCUGAACGAAUCAUAGACGUUAAAGGCUAUGUUUCACAAGUUUGAACAUCACAGUACAGUUUUGUACAGUAGAACACAGAAGAGUACACUACAGGACAGUUCAGUUUUAUUCAGUAAAGGACAGUAUGGCACAGUACAGAAUAGUUAAUUAAGUAGAGUACAGUGGAGUACAGUUUUGCUUCAGUAGUACAUUACAGUAGAGUACAGUUGACUUCAGUAGAGUACAGUAAAGUAAGAUACAUUAUAGUACACUUUUCUUUACUGUAGGCUAGUGGGCUAGUGUGCUCCAAUGCAUUGUCCUGUACUGGACUCUACUAUACUGGACUGGACUCUACUAUACUCUACUAUACUCUAAUUUUCUGUACUGUGUAUUGUAAUGUGCUGUGCUCUAUGGUACUGUGCUGUCCAAACUUGUGAAACAUAGAACUCUUAACCAAUUCUAGAUGUCUAUGUUUGGGCUAAAUCGAAGACUAAAUCGGAAUGUCUAUAUUUGGGACAAAUAUAGGCUGGAUCGGACGUCUGUGAUUGGUUCAGAUUUGUUUCGGACCGGUAAAUCCAUGGACGUCGAAAUCAAGGACUGCACCAAAAAAAGACGCUGCCUAACGUUAAAUGCUUAGUUGCGUAGGGCCCAACUCCAAAGGAAUAGCCUAGGGUUUAACUCAAAAGGAAGAGCUUAGGCUCCAACUCCAAGGUCAGAGCCUAGGGUUCAACGCCAAGUUUAUGCUGUACACAUGCCCCCUCUCCUCUGUGUCCUUCUGUGCCGUCCUCCCCGACUCCACCCAAAGUCUUUGGCUUUGUGUUUAAACACCCAGCUGCAGACAUGUACCAAUGUUACCUGUUCCAGAGCUAGACAUUUUAUUACCUGCUGGUAUUCAUUAUCACAGAUGCCUUUCAUAGAGAGAGGAGUCUCAGAGGAGAACGGCUGCAUUUGACUGUGGAGGCGCUGAGUCACAAGAUUAGAUUAAAGAGACUUAGUUGGUUUAAAACUAAUAACAGUUUUGUAGUUUGUGUCAACUGCUUGUUUUAUAUGGUGUAUUUUACAAUUCAAUAUUUUCUACUUCAUUUCUGUACCUUUAAAAAAAUUAAAGUUCUGCAGAGGGAGAAUGUAGAGCUGCGGAUGAGACUCAAUACAUCAGGAGAUGUGAAUGAGGAAGCAGUAGGCCUACACACACACACACACACAGUCUUGCACAGCUAACCUUGUUUGGACACACAAUUCAGUCCCAUUCAAAAUUGUAUUUUCCCUAACCUCUAAACCUAAUCCUAACCUGUACUUUUCCCCUAACCCUAACCUUAAUCCAAAACCCUAACCCUAACCCUAGCUCCUAACCCUAAACCUAAUUCUAACCCUAACACUAAUUCUAACCUUAAUCUUAAACCCCCUAGAAAAAGCAUUUGACCUUGUGGGGACAA